rnacentral:misc_RNA from 1 species
AUUGACUCAUGUUGCCUCGGCGGGUCCUCCCGCCAGAGGAUACAUCAAAACUCCUGUUUUAACGGUGUUGUCUGAGCUACAAGCAACGAAUCAAAACUUUCAACAACGGAUCUCUUGGUUCUGGCAUCGAUGAAGAACGCAGCGAAAUGCGAUAAGUAGUGUGAAUUGCAGAAUUCAGUGAAUCAUCGAAUCUUUGAACGCACAUUGCGCCCCUUGGUAUCCCGAGGGGCAUGCCUGUUCGAGCGUCAUUUCACCACUCAAGCCUGGCUUGGUGUUGGGCGACGUCCCCCUUUAGGGACGCGCCUCGAAACGCUCGGCGGCGUGGCACCGGCUUUAAGCGUAGCAGAAUCUUUCGCUUUGAAAGUCGGGGCCCCGUCUGCCGGAAGACCUACUCACAAGGUUGACCUCGGAUCAGGUAGGGAUACCCGCUGAACUUAAGCAU